UACGUAGGGUGCGAGCGUUGUCCGGAAUUAUUGGGCGUAAAGAGCUUGUAGGCGGUUUGUCGCGUCUGCUGUGAAAAUCCGAGGCUCAACCUCGGACUUGCAGUGGGUACGGGCAGACUAGAGUGUGGUAGGGGAGACUGGAAUUCCUGGUGUAGCGGUGAAAUGCGCAGAUAUCAAGAGGAACACCUGAGGUGAAGACGGGUUGCUGGGCUGACACUGACGCUGAGGCGCGAAAGCCAGGGGAGCAAACGGG
rnacentral:rRNA from 1 species